UGGGGAAUAUUGCACAAUGGGCGCAAGCCUGAUGCAGCCAUGCCGCGUGUAUGAAGAAGGCCUUCGGGUUGUAAAGUACUUUCAGUCGGGAGGAAGGUGGUAAGGUUAAUAACCUUAUCAAUUGACGUUACCGACAGAAGAAGCACCGGCUAACUCCGUGCCAGCAGCCGCGGUGAUACGGAGGGUGCAAGCGUUAAUCGGAAUUACUGGGCGUAAAGCGCACGCAGGCGGUUGAUUGAGUCAGAUGUGAAAUCCCCGGGCUUAACCCGGGAAUUGCUUCUGAUACGGGUCAGCUAGAGUCUUGUAGAGGGGGGUAGAAUUCCAUGUGUAGCGGUGAAAUGCGUAGAGAUGUGGAGGAAUACCGGUGGCGAAGGCGGCCCCCUGGACAAAGACUGACGCUCAGGUGCGAAAGCGUGGGGAGCAAACAGG
rnacentral:rRNA from 1 species